UACAUCAUGAUCCAUGGCACAUUUGUAGUAA
rnacentral:piRNA from 1 species